GUUGGGAAUAUUGGACAAUGGGCGCAAGCCUGAUCCAGCAAUCCCGCGUGAGUGAUGAAGGCCUUCGGGUUGUAAAGCUCUUUUGGCAGGGACAAAGGGAAACUUGAUGGUACCUGCAGAAAAAGCACCGGCUAACUCCGUGCCAGCAGCCGCGGUAAUACGGAGGGUGCAAGCGUUGUUCGGAAUUAUUGGGCGUAAAGCGCGUGUAGGCGGUUGCCUAAGUCUGGUGUGAAAUCCCGGGGCUCAACUCCGGAACUGCACUGGAUACUGGGUGACUCGAGGGCGAGAGAGGAUGGUGGAAUUCCUGGUGUAGGGGUGAAAUCCGUAGAUAUCAGGAGGAACAUCGGUGGCGAAGGCGACCAUCUGGCUCGUUUCUGACGCUGAGACGCGAAAGCGUGGGGAGCAAACAGGAUUAGAUACCCCAGUAGUCC
rnacentral:rRNA from 1 species